GACGAACGCUGGCGGCGGGCCUAAUACAUGCAAGUCGAGCGAAAGCACUCUGAUGCUUGGACUUUAAAAACUUAGCGGCGAACGGGUGAGAAACACGUAAAGAACCCUACUCUUUGAUUGGGACAACUGUAGGGAACGAUAGGUAAUAACGGAAAACAGUAUUCCGCGGAAGGGAGAGGUUUAAAAGUUGGUUAUGGUAACACUAAGAGGUUGCUUUGCGGUGCAGUUGGUGGUUGGAGGGGUAAAGGCCCACCAAGGCGACGAUCCGUAGCCGACCUGAGAGGAUGAUCAGCCACACUGGAACUGAGACACGGUCCAGACUCCUACGGGAGGCAGCAGUAGGGAAUCUUCCGCAAAGGGCGAAAGCCUGACGGAGCCACGCCGCGUGAGUGAAGAAGGCUUUCGGUUCGUAAAGCUCUGUUGUUAGGGAAGAAUGGCUAUGUAGUAACUCUACGUGUAAGUGACGGUACCUAACCAGAAAGCACCGGCUAACUACGUG
rnacentral:rRNA from 1 species